rnacentral:rRNA from 1 species
UACGGGGGGUGCAAGCGUUAAUCGGAAUUACUGGGCGUAAAGGGUGCGUAGGUGGUUUGAUAAGUUGGCUGUAAAAUUCCUGGGCUUAACCUGGGGAGGUCAGCCAAGACUGUUAGACUUGAGUAUGGGAGAGGGUAGUGGAAUUUCCGGUGUAGCGGUGAAAUGCGUAGAGAUCGGAAGGAACACCGGUGGCGAAGGCGGCUACCUGGCCUAAUACUGACACUGAGGCACGAAAGCGUGGGGAGCAAACAGG